rnacentral:lncRNA from 1 species
UUUGAAAUCAGAGGGCUUUCACAGCAGGGAAAUCAAAUGGGAAUUAAACUCAAGUGCAUUUAUUUAACAGAAAAGAGCAGGGAGGUUGUCACGAAUGAGCAUGAAACAUUUAUUGAGGUUCCUGUGAACAGAGGCUUGGCCACACAGCCUCUCUUACAUUAGUACAUGCACAGAGACAAUCCCUCUGCCACUCUCACUGUAACAGGAGAUAUAACGGAGCAGUUUCUUUUCCCACCAGACCGACUGUUGCUUUGCAAAUCAUUGCAAACCUCAAAGCUGCAGAGGGAACAUGCCCACAGGACUGUGUGACCUCAGCAUGGGCUACGCGGCAGCCACCUGCUGGGAAGAGCUAAGGAGUGUCCAAAUGCUUUGUGUGGCAAAUCAAAGUCAGCUGAACAGCCUGAUUAACCUGCUGGGGAGGUUAGAAGAGGCAGAUGGGUGGCAGCAGAAAGAUUGGACUGAGAGGGAGAGCUAUGUUGGGCUGCUCCUUGAACGAUGGAACGCUGACUGAUGGUCCAAGAGGUCCUUUUCUCUCUUAAUCCUCAUUGUGGGGUGCAGAAAACAGUAAGAGAAGAACUGCUGGCCACUGAAUCGGCUACAUGGGCAUUAAAUAUUCACAGAGUCCAAAUGACUGGGGCAUCCAGAUGAGAAAAAGAUCAAGCCUGCUUGAGAAAUGCAGGGAAAAUGGUCUUUUGCGUGGUAUUGCACUCAACACAACUAAAGGUGAAUUUUCACAUAACUGUCCAUAGUAAUGAAAUUGCAUUUAGUUUUCCCACUUGUUCCUUUCUUUAUCUUUCUGGCACUUAGAGGAUUGCUGGAUUCAUAGGGCUGUGUUGAUUUAGAGCUAGCAGAUCUGGCCCUUGUUUUAACUUGUGUUUAUUGCAGAGGUUUUUGUGAAACGGGCAGAUAGAGGCAGCAAUGAGUGUGUCAGGCUGCAGCAUUAUAAUUGGAAGCUGUUGAAACCCAGGGUCUGGCACCAAAACAUAAACCUCUUUCAAAAACAAAUUCCACUUGAAUUAUAUUGUUUUAUUUGUAGCAGGGUGCUUAGAGUGCCUUCUCAUAUUAUCCCCUCACUGAUGUAUAGUGAUGAUGC